rnacentral:rRNA from 1 species
GACGAACGCUGGCGGCGUGCUUAACACAUGCAAGUCGAACGGUAAGGCCUUCGGGUACACGAGUGGCGAACGGGUGAGUAACACGUGGGUGAUCUGCCCUGCACUUUGGGAUAAGCCUGGGAAACUGGGUCUAAUACCGAAUAGGACUACGGCCUGCAUGGGUUGUGGUGGAAAGCUUUUGCGGUGUGGGAUGGGCCCGCGGCCUAUCAGCUUGUUGGUGAGGUCACGGCUCACCAAGGCGACGACGGGUAGCCGGCCUGAGAGGGUGACCGGCCACACUGGGACUGAGAUACGGCCCAGACUCCUACGGGAGGCAGCAGUGGGGAAUAUUGCACAAUGGGCGCAAGCCUGAUGCAGCGACGCCGCGUGAGGGAUGACGGCCUUCGGGUUGUAAACCUCUUUCAGUAGGGACGAAGCGCAAGUGACGGUACCUAUAGAAGAAGGACCGGCCAACUACGUGCCAGCAGCUGCGGUAAUACGUAGGGUCCGAGCGUUGUCCGGAAUUACUGGGCGUAAAGAGCUCGUAGGUGGUUUGUCGCGUUGUUCGUGAAAACUCACAGCUUAACUGUGGGCGUGCGGGCGAUACGGGCAGACUUGAAUACUGCAGGGGAGACUGGAAUUCCUGGUGUAGCGGUGGAAUGCGCAGAUAUCAGGAGGAACACCGGUGGCGAAGGCGGGUCUCUGGGCAGUAACUGACGCUGAGGAGCGAAAGCGUGGGGAGCGAACAGGAUUAGAUACCCUGGUAGUCCACGCCGUAAACGGUGGGUACUAGGUGUGGGUUUCCUUCCUUGGGAUCCGUGCCGUAGCUAACGCAUUAAGUACCCCGCCUGGGGAGUACGGCCGCAAGGCUAAAACUCAAAGAAAUUGACGGGGGCCCGCACAAGCGGCGGAGCAUGUGGAUUAAUUCGAUGCAACGCGAAGAACCUUACCUGGGUUUGACAUGCACAGGACGCUGGUAGAGAUAUCAGUUCCCUUGUGGCCUGUGUGCAGGUGGUGCAUGGCUGUCGUCAGCUCGUGUCGUGAGAUGUUGGGUUAAGUCCCGCAACGAGCGCAACCCUUAUCUUAUGUUGCCAGCGCGUAAUGGCGGGGACUCGUGAGAGACUGCCGGGGUCAACUCGGAGGAAGGUGGGGAUGACGUCAAGUCAUCAUGCCCCUUAUGUCCAGGGCUUCACACAUGCUACAAUGGCCGGUACAAAGGGCUGCGAUGCCGUGAGGUGGAGCGAAUCCUUUCAAAGCCGGUCUCAGUUCGGAUCGGGGUCUGCAACUCGACCCCGUGAAGUCGGAGUCGCUAGUAAUCGCAGAUCAGCAACGCUGCGGUGAAUACGUUCCCGGGCCUUGUACACACCGCCCGUCACACCAUGGGAGUUGGUUGCUCCAGAAGCAGGUAGUCUAACCGCAAGGGGGACGCUUGCCACGGGGUGGUCAAUGAC